GAUUAAGUUAUUAAGGGCGCACGGUGGAUGCCUUGGCACUAGAAGCCGAUGAAGGACGUUACUAACGACGAUAUGCUUUGGGGAGCUGUAAGUAAGCUUUGAUCCAGAGAUUUCCGAAUGGGGAAACCCAGCAUGAGUUAUGUCAUGUUAUCGAUAUGUGAAUACAUAGCAUAUCAGAAGGCAUACCCGGAGAACUGAAACAUCUUAGUACCCGGAGGAAGAGAAAGAAAAUUCGAUUCCCUUAGUAGCGGCGAGCGAAACGGGAAGAGCCCAAACCAACAAGCUUGCUUGUUGGGGUUGUAGGACACUCUAUACGGAGUUACAAAGGACGACAUUAGACGAAUCAUCUGGAAAGAUGAAUCAAAGAAGGUAAUAAUCCUGUAGUCGAAAAUGUUGUCUCUCUUGAGUGGAUCCUGAGUACGACGGAGCACGUGAAAUUACGUCGGAAUCUGGGAGGACCAUCUCCUAAGGCUAAAUACUCUCUAGUGACCGAUAGUGAACCAGUACCGUGAGGGAAAGGUGAAAAGCACCCCGGAAGGGGAGUGAAAUAGAACCUGAAACCGUGUGCUUACAAGUAGUCAGAGCCCGUUAAUGGGUGAUG
rnacentral:rRNA from 1 species